UGGUUAGACGCGGCUGGAGGCCAAGGUCAAGUUGAAAGUUGCAGUCUGGCCACAUUAAACUUUUUACAGCAA